GAGAUAUUAGUAAAAUGUAUAUUAUACCACCUUGUCAAGAUGGAGUCGUAGGUUAAACCCCUACAUACCUCA
rnacentral:tRNA from 1 species